AAGAGAAAACUACGAUUCAAGCUG
rnacentral:sRNA from 1 species